AAUUUCUUAAAAUAGAUAUUUCAAAUGGAAAAAAUGUCUUCUGGAUGCAUUUCAUCGGAGCCAAAAUACUGUCGAAACAGCCCAGGAUGUAUGCCAUGUGUUCUCUAACGGUGUUAUCUCUGAAAGGACUGUUGCUGUUAUGUGUUAACUUUGAAAACAGUAUUCGGGACUACAGGAUGCAUUCCGCUCUGAGAAACCAUCUGAACCCGAUGACGACCACCUAAAGACAUUUCAAAAAAACAAUCAAAAAAAAAUUCGCAAAUUAACCAAAGAUGAUAUGCAGCUCCACAGAUGUCGCUAACUGCCUGAAGUUUAUUGGUCUUAGUUCCUUCCAGACAAAAUACGUGGGUCCAGGUAUAUGGUGAAUCUUCCGUCGUCUCGGAAUUGGAACUAUCAACUAAACUAAACGCGAGCCAGUGAAAUUUGGAAAAGUGGCAGAGUUGCGGUUCGUGGUGCGCUAUGUCUGUCAGGCCGCUGCCGACAUAUGUUAAUUAAUAGUUAUCGCUUCCGGAAUAGCUUUCCGGAGCUUAGUCUGGGACAGUCUGACAGUCUAUAAUCUCGAACAUUUGGACCGCCAAAAGGCCUCGUUCCUUAAAGGAGCCUUGAGAUUGAGCACCGGACAAUGCGUAACAGGCACGUCUACCUUCUACCAGUGAUUCCAUAUACGGCGUGGACCUUUGUCGCCAUUUUAUCUAUCAUCCACCUCAGCACUUCCAAAGAACCUGGUGAAAUGGGAUCGAAAAUUCGUCCAGGUCGAUCUCGAAUUAUGUGACAGAUGAGACCUGAGAAGAUCUCGUCCAUCACAUAAAUCGACUUAAUAUACAUGUAGUGACACACUAUGCAGUGCACCGUUUUCAUCUAUGCAGAAUACAAAAAUUUUAUAAAGCAAAUUAUCUUCUACUAGUUGUAGGCAAACUUGUGAUCGUAUCAUGCUUCCCGCUACUUAAAAAUUUAAUUACUGGGUAGCCUGGCUCGGAAACUGACCGAGAAAUGGCUAUAUCAUAGUGUAUA